UACGGAGGGUGCAAGCGUUAUCCGGAUUCACUGGGUUUAAAGGGUGUGUAGGCGGGCUGUUAAGUCAGUGGUGAAAUCUCCGGGCUCAACCCGGAAACUGCCAUUGAUACUAAUGGUCUUGAAUUUUGUUGAGGUAGGCGGAAUAUGUCAUGUAGCGGUGAAAUGCUUAGAUAAUGACAUAGAACACCGAUUGCGAAGGCAGCUUACUAUGGUCUUAUUGACGCUGAGGCACGAAAGCCAGGGGAGCAAACGGG
rnacentral:rRNA from 1 species